rnacentral:rRNA from 1 species
AGUUUGAUCAUGGCUCAGAUUGAACGCUGGCGGCAGGCCUAACACAUGCAAGUCGAGCGGUAGAGAGAAGCUUGCUUCUCUUGAGAGCGGCGGACGGGUGAGUAAUGCCUAGGAAUCUGCCUAGUGGUGGGGGAUAACGUUCGGAAACGGACGCUAAUACCGCAUACGUCCUACGGGAGAAAGCGGGGGAUCUUCGGACCUCGCGCCAUUAGAUGAGCCUAGGUCGGAUUAGCUAGUUGGUGAGGUAAUGGCUCACCAAGGCGACGAUCCGUAACUGGUCUGAGAGGAUGAUCAGUCACACUGGAACUGAGACACGGUCCAGACUCCUACGGGAGGCAGCAGUGGGGAAUAUUGGACAAUGGGCGAAAGCCUGACCCAGCCAUGCCGCGUGUGUGAAGAAGGUCUUCGGAUUGUAAAGCACUUUAAGUUGGGAGGAAGGGCAGUAACCUAAUACGUUAUUGUUUUGACGUUACCGACAGAAUAAGCACCGGCUAACUUCGUGCCAGCAGCCGCGGUAAUACGAAGGGUGCAAGCGUUAAUCGGAAUUACUGGGCGUAAAGCGCGCGUAGGUGGUUCAGUAAGUUGGAAGUGAAAUCCCCGGGCUCAACCUGGGAACUGCUUUCAAAACUGCUGAGCUAGAGUACGGUAGAGGGUGGUGGAAUUUCCUGUGUAGCGGUGAAAUGCGUAGAUAUAGGAAGGAACACCAGUGGCGAAAGCGACCACCUGGACUGAUACUGACACUGAGGUGCGAAAGCGUGGGGAGCAAACAGGAUUAGAUACCCUGGUAGUCCACGCCGUAAACGAUGUCAACUAGCCGUUGGGAGUCUUGAACUC